GAGUUCCAAUCUACACGGGAAGAUCUUGCUCCACGUGCUGCACGGUAUCUAGUGUAUAUCAUCAACAAUUUCCUGCAAAUAAUAUUAGCAAAUCAGGCUUCAUGUAAAACUUUUCAUCUCCAGUCUUAAGUUCUCUUUCAUGUAAAACUUUUCAUCUCCAUGUAUAACUAAAACUUUUGAGACUUUUUUUUUUU
rnacentral:sRNA from 1 species